CAUAGCGACUAUCGUGGCAUAUCAAUAAGCGGAGGAAAAGAAACUAACAAGGAUUCCCUUAGUAACGGCGAGUGAAGCGGGAAGAGCUCAAAUUUGAAAUCUUCAAGGUUUUACCUUGACGAAUUGUAGUUUAUAGAAGUGUUUUCUGUUAGUAGAGUGGCAAAAGUUCUUUGGAAUAGGACAUCAUAGAGGGUGAGAAUCCCGUAUUUGGUCAUUCCUCCUAGCGUUGUGAUACACUUUCAACGAGUCGGAUUGUUUGGGAAUGCAGUCCAAAAUGGGUGGUAAAUUUCAUCUAAAGCUAAAUAUUGGCGAGAGACCGAUAGCGAACAAGUACCGUGAGGGAAAGAUGAAAAGAACUUUGAAAAGAGAGUUAAACAGUACGUGAAAUUGUCUAAAGGGAAGCGUUUGACACCAGUGUUGUUUUUCCGAAAAUCAAUUAAAAAUUGAUUCGUGCCAGGUUGUAUUGACCUUAUCAGCUUGCAAUUUGGUUUUGGGUCUCUUUUUGAUGCACUUUUCGGUUAACAAGUCAACAUCAAUUUCCUUUGCUGUAAAAAGGUAAGAGGAAGGUGGCUUCAAUUUCGGUUGAAGUGUUUAUAGCCUUUUAUCUCUGCAGUCGGGGAGAUUGAGGUCUGCAGCGUAGACCCUUCGGGGCUAGAUACAUUUAUGCUAAGUUAUAGCUUUUCAUAGACAACUUGUUGACUAUGUUUAGUCAUGUAGCUUACUCGUAAGUGCUAUUUUACCUACGCUUAGGAUGUUGAUAGUCACAGCGUGUAC
rnacentral:rRNA from 1 species